UUGGAGGGCAAGUCUGGUGCCAGCAGCCGCGGUAAUUCCAGCUCCAAUAGCGUAUAUUAAAGUUGUUGCAGUUAAAAAGCUCGUAGUUGAACCUUGGGUCUGGCUGGCCGGUCCGCCUCACCGCGAGUACUGGUCCGGCUGGACCUUUCCUUCUGGGGGAACCCCAUGGCCUUCACUGGCUGUGGGGGGAACCAGGACUUUUACUGUGAAAAAAUUAGAGUGUUCAAAGCAGGCCUUUGCUCGAAUACAUUAGCAUGGAAUAAUAGAAUAGGACGUGCGG
rnacentral:rRNA from 1 species